GGGACGAACGCUGGCGGCGUGCUUAACACAUGCAAGUCGAGCGGAAAGGCCCUUCGGGGUACUCGAGCGGCGAACGGGUGAGUAACACGUGAGCAACCUGCCCCUGGCUCUGGGAUAGCCUCCGGAAACGGGGAUUAAUACCGGACAUUCUCCGCCUUCCGCAUGGUUGGCGGUGGAAAGUUUUUUCGGCCGGGGAGGGCUCGCGGCCUAUCAGCUUGUUGGCGGGGUAACGGCCCACCAAGGCGACGACGGGUAGCCGG
rnacentral:rRNA from 1 species